rnacentral:rRNA from 1 species
AACGAACGCUGGCGGCAGGCUUAACACAUGCAAGUCGAACGCCCCGCAAGGGGAGUGGCAGACGGGUGAGUAACGCGUGGGAACGUGCCCUUCGCUCCGGAAUAGCCCCGGGAAACUGGGAGUAAUACCGGAUACGCCGUAUUGGGAAAGAUGUAUCGGCGAAGGAUCGGCCCGCGUUGGAUUAGCUAGUUGGAGGUGUAAUGGACCCCCAAGGCUACGAUCCAUAGCUGGUCUGAGAGGAUGAUCAGCCACACUGGGACUGAGACACGGCCCAGACUCCUACGGGAGGCAGCAGUGGGGAAUCUUGGACAAUGGGCGCAAGCCUGAUCCAGCCAUGCCGCGUGAGUGAAGAAGGCCUUAGGGUUGUAAAACUCUUUCGCCGGAGAAGAUAAUGACGGUAUCCGGAGAAGAAGCCCCGGCUAACUUCGUGCCAGCAGCCGCCGUAA